ACGAAAAAUAAAGUGAACACAAGGAUUUACGUGGUUCGGCUUUAAUGCCUACGUCCACGGGCAGAGGCGAAAAGAAAUUUCACUAUAACAAGAUGAAGAUUACAAGUGUUUUACACUCAAGACACAACCCGAGAACCUCACAACUCUCAACCCCUAUAGAAAACCCGAAAGCUAAAAUCCUAGCUUUCAAAGAACAAGCUUUGCUCUCUCUUGGUUUGGGAUGAUUUAUAUGGCUAAUGAACCUCUCUAUUUAUAAGAGAGUUCAAGGACAUAAUUGUCCAAAACUUUGGCAAAGAUUUGUGGUUGAAAAUGGACACCAACAACCAUCCACUAAUCCACUACCACCAACAACCCACUACCAACAACAACAAUCCACUACCAAUUUUAAGCCAUUUCUUAACAAAUCUCCACCUUGGCUUGAAAUUUACCAAGCUGAACAUCAUAGUGAAUUCCUCGAACUGGAUCACCUCUUCCAAACGCCUCUCUGGCGCUAAUCAAUCCCGAAUACCUAUCAAGUCCAAGCAAUGCUUGAACUUAUAUGCAGGGAUCACCUUAGUUAACAUAUCUGCAGGAUUCUUCUCGGUAGCAACCUUGCUGAUAACAAUGUCACCUUGCGUAACAUGUUCCCGAACAAAAUGAUAUCUGACAUCAAUGUGUUUGGUCCGUUCAUGAAACAUCUGAUUUUUAGUCAGAUGUAUGGCACUCUGGCUAUCGCAAAAUACAACAGUGAAAUCCUGUUGUAAACCCAAACUGCUUACUAGACCUUUCAUCCACAAUGCUUCUUUCACUGCUUCUGCUAACGCCAUAUAUUCCGCCUCAGUCGUAGAUAAGGCUACGGUAGACUGUAACACAGCUUUCCAACUAAUGGCUCCUCCAGAAUAAGUGAAAACAUAACCCGUCAGAGAUCUUCUUUUGUCCAGAUCUCCAGCAUAAUCAGAGUCCACAUAGCCCGUGACACUGCUAGUGCAGUCACUCUGAUCAUAUACCAAGCAUAAAUCUGCAGAACCUCUCAAGUACCUGAGAAUCCAUUUCACGGCCUGCCAGUGUUCCUUGCCAGGACAACUCAUGUAUCUGCUGACCACACUAACUGCAUGUGAAAUGUCUGGACGAGUGCAAACCAUUGCAUACAUCACGCUUCCAACUGCACUCGAGUAUGGAAUGUGAGACAUUUGCUGCUUUUCUUCAUCAGAUUGUGGUGACAACUCUGCAGAGAGUUUGAAAUGUGGUGCCAACGGAGUACUCACAGUUUUCGCUUUAUCCAUGCCGAAGCGUUGAAGAACCUUUUCAAUGUAGUUCUUCUGCGACACACGAAGCUUGCCCGCCUUGCGAUCUCUGUGAAUAUCCAUGCCCAAAAUUUUCUUGGCAGCACCCAGAUCCUUCAUCUCGAACUCACCACUCAACUGCGACUUUAACUUGUUGAUUUCCGACAUGUUUUUGGAAGCAAUUAACAUGUCAUCAACAUACAGCAACAAAUAAAUGUGCGAACCAUCUGAGAGCUUCCGAUGAUAGACACAAGCAUCAUAGUCACAUCUUGUGUAACCAUGCUGAAUCAUGAAGCUAUCAAACCGCUUGUACCACUGCCUUGGGGAUUGUUUCAAUCCAUAUAAAGACUUCUUUAAUAGACAGACAUGGUCUUCUUUACCAGGAACUGUAAAACCCUCUGGUUGACGCAUGUAGAUUGUUUCCUCGAGCUCACCAUGCAAGAACGCCGUUUUUACGUCAAGCUGCUCAAGUUCUAGAUCAGACUUGGCCACCAUGGCAAGUAAUACACGAAUGGAAGAAUGCUUUACGACUGGGGAGAAAACUUCAUUGUAGUCAAUCCCCUCUUUCUGAGUGAAGCCUUUAGCAACCAAUCGUGCCUUGAAUCUAGUUGCUUCAACCCCUAGGAUGCCUUCCUUUUUCUUGAAGACCCAUUUGCAACCAACUAUCUUCUGGUUACUUGGCGGCUUAACCAACUCCCAAGUAUGGUUCUUGUGAAGAGAUUCUAUCUCCUCACUCAUAGCAAUUGCCCACUGUGCCGACUCAUCACACGUGACAGCCUCAUUAUAACUGGAAGGUUCUAUACCAAUGGACUCCGCCACACUGAGCGCGAAAGACACCAGAUUAGCGUAACGCGGAUUUGGUUUGAUUUGUCUCUUCGUUCUUCCAGUGGCAAUGCUAUAUGGUUUUUCUUGAGGUGACUCAUCUUCAUCGGAAUCUUGCACCUCAACUUGAUCAUCCUGGACUGAAGUACCUUCCGUAGGAAUUGGAGCGUCCACCUGACACUCCACCUGCUUCUCAACACCGUGAUCUCCCAUUCUAUCUGACUCCUCCUUUUCCCGGGAAUUUGUGGUGGAUCGAAGCAUGGAUGACUCAUCAAAAGUCACAUCUCUGCUGAUGAUGAACUUGGACGAAACCGGAUCAGGACACCACAACCUGUAUCCUUUCACCCCUUGGCCGUAUCCAAGAAAUAUGCAUUUCUUCGCCCUCGGUUUGAGUUUUCCCUCAUUUACAUGAGCAUACGCAGGGCAGCCAAACACUCUUAAACCAGAGUAAUCAGCAGGAGAACCAGACCAUACUUCCUCAGGAGUCUUCAGCUCAAUAGCUGUUGACGGAGAUCUGUUAACCAAAUAACAAGCAGUAUUAACAGCUUCAGCCCAAAAUUCUUCACCGAGCCCAGCAUUUGAUCGCAUGCAACGAGCUCGCUCCAAGAGAGUUCUAUUCAUGCGUUCUGCAACUCCAUUUUGUUGUGGUGUUCGACGAACAGUGCGGUGUCUCACUAUUCCUUCAUUCUUGCAGAACUCAUCGAAUUCACCUGAGCAAAACUCCAAGCCAUUAUCCGUCCGGAAUCGCUUGAUCUUCUUUCCUGUUUGAUUUUCGAUCAAAGCUUUAAAUUGCUUGAAGUUGAUGAGAACCUCAUACUUGCUCUUCAGAAAAUACACCCAAACCUUUCUCGAGUAAUCAUCGAUAAAGGUAAGCAGAUAUCUGUAACCACCUUUAGAAAUUGUCGGAGAAGGCCCCCAAAGGUCAGAAUGGAAGUAAUCCACUGUGCCUUUUGUCUUGUGAAUCCCAGUGCUGAACUUUACCCGAGUCUGCUUACCGAAGACGCAGUGCUCACAGAAAUUCAACUUUCCUGUACACUGCCCAGACAAUAAUCCUCGUUUGCUUAGCACCGAUAAGCCUCUCUCGCUCAUAUGCCCGAGCCGCAUAUGCCAUAACUUCGUGGUGUCAGAAUCUAGAUCAUCUGAUGAUGACACUCCCGCAACACCUGUAACCGAGGAACCAUCGAGGAAGUAAAGGCCCCGCUCCAAAUUACCACGUAUCACAGUCAAAGCACCCGAGAAUACCUUGAGAACUCCACCUUCAGCAGAGUACCGAAAGCCUUUCUUGUCCAACGUACUCAAAGAGAUCAAAUUUUUCUUCAUUUCUGGAAUGUGCCGAACAUCAGUUAGAGUUCUAACAAUACCGUCAAACAUCUUUAUACGAACUGUGCCAAUCCCCAUGACUUGACAUGCGUGGUCAUUUCCCAUUAGUACUGAACCAGAAUGCUUCUCGUAUGUUGAGAAUGCAUCUUUCGAAGUACUUAUAUGAAAUGUAGCUCCCGUAUCAAGAAUCCAUCUCCCACCAGCGUAAGAGUCGGAUACUGCAAGAACGAUCUCGGCAUCACUUGAAGAAUCUGCAUCAGCUACAUUCGCACGAUCAUUUUGUUGCUCCUGUGAUUCUGAUUUCUCCUUCCUUUUCGGACAAUCUACCUUCAUGUGCCCGUACUUCUUACAGUAGUAGCACUGUAUUCUCUUCUUGGACUGCGAUCUAGGAUGGCUUUUACUUGAACUUCCACCCUUUGCCUUGGAUCUUCCUCGAGCAACCAAGCCUUCGCCUUCAUUGUUUUCGACCACCUUACCAGUGAUUUUCUUCCUCAACUCACUGGAACUUAAGGCAUUUUUUACCUCCUCUAGAGUCAGGUCAUCACGACCGUACAUCAUUGUAUCAACAAAAUUCUCAUACGAGGGAGACAAAGAACACAAAACAAUUAUUGCUUGGUCCUCAUCAUCGAUUUUGUUAUCGAUAUUAUUCAAAUCCAUGAUAAUGGAAUUGAAUUUAUCCAGGUGCUGGGAAACAGGUGUACCUUCCUCCAUCUUCAGGGCAUAGAGUCUUUGCUUGAGGUAGAGCCGGUUCGUCAAUGACUUCGUCAUGUACUUGCUCUCUAACCGGAGCCACAAACCGGACGCGGUUUUCUCAUCCGCUACUUCUCGUAGCACUUCAUCUCCUAGACAUAGUAGAAUAGCACUAUGUGCUCUUUCUAGCAUGUCAUCCUUUUGCUCUUCCGAAAGCGUGCUUGGUAAUUUAUCUUUACCAGACAAUGCUUUUAGCAAUCCUUGUUGAACCAGCACUGCCCGCAUCUUGAUGCGCCAUAAACUGAAACUAUUUUUCCCGGUAAAUUUCUCGACAUCAUACUUAGUCGAUGAAACACUUGUAGCCAUAAUUUGGAACCUUUGAAUGAAUGAUAAUAUUUUCUUCCUGAUGUGAAAGAUCAGACAAAGCUGCAGUCACAGGGCAAUUCAGAAAAUAUUAUCACUCCUUCAACUACGCUCUGAUACCAAUUUGUUGCGGAAAGGAUCGAUUCGAGAACUCCGAUAUGACUACAAGUAAAUUGACCGAAACGAAAAAUAAAGUGAACACAAGGAUUUACGUGGUUCGGCUUUAAUGCCUACGUCCACGGGCAGAGGCGAAAAGAAAUUUCACUAUAACAAGAUGAAGAUUACAAGUGUUUUACACUCAAGACACAACCCGAGAACCUCACAACUCUCAACCCCUAUAGAAAACCCGAAAGCUAAAAUCCUAGCUUUCAAAGAACAAGCUUUGCUCUCUCUUGGUUUGGGAUGAUUUAUAUGGCUAAUGAACCUCUCUAUUUAUAAGAGAGUUCAAGGACAUAAUUGUCCAAAACUUUGGCAAAGAUUUGUGGUUGAAAAUGGACACCAACAACCAUCCACUAAUCCACUACCACCAACAACCCACUACCAACAACAACAAUCCACUACCAAUUUUAAGCCAUUUCUUAACAAAAACUGAACCCAGAGAUGCAAGCUGCCAUUGUAGUGUUCAUAGUAUAGGCGCUUAUGGAAGCUCAACAAAUACUAACUGCCCGCCAAGUCCAUCAGUUGGGUCGAACCAGAUAGAUCCUUCAGACUUUGUUUUCUUGGUAGAACAAGGCUCAGUUACAGAUUCUCCAGAUAUACCCCCAUCUCCAGAAAGAUCUUCUAUUGAGCUUGCUGAUUACAGUCAUGGCCAAUAAGAAGAUUUGAUGAUUUAGAUAUUGUCGCACAGUUGAACGCAUUACUCAAAGAUUUAUGUAAACGGUUGUGUAUAUAGUAUAAUUAAGUAGGAUCCUAAUCUCGCUAUUUUGCUGCUAAAAUAAACCCUAUUUUAAGUAAUUACUUGGGAUCCAAGUUUAAGUAAUUACUUAGGCUACUCUUGAAUGAAUGAUAAGAUUGAUUAAAAGUAAUAGUGUCAAUUAGAUUAAAUAUUUUAGUGGUGAAAUUAAAAUAAGUGAUAAAAUUGUAUUUAAAUUUAAAUUAGGUUGUAAGAAUGAGGUACAAAUGUAAAAUACUUAUUAACAUCAUUACAUUCUGUUUUUUUAAUGUAAAAUAUAUAAUGAGAAAUUAUAUUUUAUGUUAAAUAAAAAUUAUAUUAGAUUUUUAUAUUUUGCAAC
rnacentral:lncRNA from 1 species